rnacentral:rRNA from 1 species
UACGAAGGGGGCUAGCGUUGCUCGGAAUCACUGGGCGUAAGGGGUGCGUAGGCGGGUUUUUAAGUCAGAGGUGAAAUCCUGGAGCUCAACUCCAGAACUGCCUUUGAUACUGAAAGUCUUGAGUAUGGGAGAGGUGAGUGGAACUGCGAGUGUAGAGGUGAAAUUCGUAGAUAUUCGCAAGAACACCAGUGGCGAAGGCGGCUCACUGGCCCAUAACUGACGCUGAGGCACGAAAGCGUGGGGAGCAAACAGG